rnacentral:rRNA from 1 species
ACGAACGCUGGCGGCGUGCUUAACACAUGCAAGUCGAACGGAAAGGCCCUGCUUUUGUGGGGUGCUCGAGUGGCGAACGGGUGAGUAACACGUGAGUAACCUGCCCUUGACUUUGGGAUAACUUCAGGAAACUGGGGCUAAUACCGGAUAGGAGCUCCUGCUGCAUGGUGGGGGUUGGAAAGUUUCGGCGGUUGGGGAUGGACUCGCGGCUUAUCAGCUUGUUGGUGGGGUAGUGGCUUACCAAGGCUUUGACGGGUAGCCGGCCUGAGAGGGUGACCGGCCACAUUGGGACUGAGAUACGGCCCAGACUCCUACGGGAGGCAGCAGUGGGGAAUAUUGCACAAUGGGCGGAAGCCUGAUGCAGCAACGCCGCGUGCGGGAUGACGGCCUUCGGGUUGUAAACCGCUUUCGCCUGUGACGAAGCGUGAGUGACGGUAACGGGUAAAGAAGCACCGGCUAACUACGUG